AGAGUUUGAUCAUGGCUCAGGAUGAACGCUAGCUACAGGCUUAACACAUGCAAGUCGAGGGGAAACGACAUCGAAAGCUUGCUUUUGAUGGGCGUCGACCGGCGCACGGGUGAGUAACGCGUAUCCAACCUGCCCACCACUUGGGGAUAACCUUGCGAAAGUAAGACUAAUACCCAAUGAUAUCUCUAGAAGACAUCUGAAAGAGAUUAAAGAUUCAUCGGUGAUGGAUGGGGAUGCGUCUGAUUAGCUUGUUGGCGGGGUAACGGCCCACCAAGGCAACGAUCAGUAGGGGUUCUGAGAGGAACGGUCCCCCACAUUGGAACUGAGACACGGUCCAAACUCCGUACGGGAGGCAGUA
rnacentral:rRNA from 1 species